rnacentral:sRNA from 1 species
ACCACAGACAAGCGGGCAGGUUGAGAUCUCCAAUAGGAAGAUAAAAACAAUUUUGGAAAAGACUGUUGGGAUUACAAGGAAAGACUGGUCUGCAAAGCUAGAUGAUGCAUUAUGGGCUUACAGGACAGCUUUCAAGACCCCCAUAGGUACAACUCCUUUCAAUCUUCUCUAUGGAAAAUCAUGUCAUCUACCCGUUGAGCUCGAGUACAGAGCAAUGUGGGCGGUAAAACUUCUGAACUUUGACAUAAAAACUGCUGAGGAGAAGCGAUUGAUCCAACUCAGUGACCUCGAUGAGAUCCGUCUAGAAGCUUAUGAAAGUUCUAAAAUCUACAAGGAGAGAACCAAGCUUUUCCAUGACAAGAAGAUCAUCACUAAGGAUUUCCAGGUUGGUGAUCAGAUGCUGCUAUUCAACUCUCGCUUGAAACUCUUUCCAGGAAAACUUAAAUCUAGAUGGUCUGGCCCCUUCUGCAUCACUGAGGUCCGUCCUUAUGGAGCAGUCACUCUAGCUGGUAAGAGUGGAGAUUUUACAGUAAAUGGUCAAAGGCUCAAGAAAUACUUAGCAGACCAAAUCCUUCCAGAGGUGACAUCGGUUCAUCUCCAGGAGCUUCUUGAUGAUUAAAGGAGUAAAGGAGUCAAGCUAAUGACUUUAAACAAGCUCACUUGGGAGGAAGUCCCAUGACUAUCCUUGUAAAUAAUUUUUACUUUCUUGUUAUUUUUGAUUUGUUUUAGUUGUGUUUGUGGUUUUCAGAGACAAGAGAACAACGCGGAGAUAGAGUAAAAAUUCAAAACUGUUACUCUACAGAAGACCUGGAGAUCGAGUGUACAGCCCGUUUGGAGUAGAAAAUUUUGAAAAUCUUUUGUUGCACCUGGAGACCUUGCACUCGAGUACAUUGGUCGAGUAUCUGUGAUGUUUAAAACCCAAAAACUUUUAAAUCAUCAUUUUACUCGACCAACAGAAGCUACAGAGACUUGCAGAAAUUUCCUACAGUUUACAGUAGGUUUUCUGCAAAAAAUUUCUAAGUCAACAGAGUGUGGACCACGCGCUGAGGAUAAGCUGGAGAGAGAAUCUAAAACUCAACCUAGACCACUCAUUUUGAAGCGUCACUCGACUUCUCCAAAUCCACUCGACCUCCCUCUUUUUUAAUUUCACCGCCGACACUCUAAUCUCUCUACACCACAAAUCGCCAUCCAAAGAGCUACUCGAUCCUGCGAAUUUCACUCGACCCCCGCGCCGCCGUCACCAGCUCAUCCCCUCCGUCACCCGACCAAACCACUUCACUCGACCUCGAGAAAGCACUCGACCCCUGCAAAAAUCUACUCGGCUUCUUGUUCGUGAAUUCAGCAGAGCCUUCUAACUUCAGAGAAGUUACUCGACCUCUAGGUUUCACGAUUCACUCCACCUCCACGAUUCACUCGACCUGCUGUAGCAUUCCAACUCGACCUCUGAGAAGAUACUCGAUCCAAUUCGUCUAAGCUCAGGAACAGCUCAGGUUACUCGAGUACAGAAUUGUACUCGACCAAUUCAAUCUAUUUCAUUGCCUAUUGACAAUAAUUUUGGUUUCAUUGCUAUCUUUGAGACUAACCUAUUGACAUUUGAGUUUUGAGUUCUAAAUCUCUACAGGAGAAUCAUGAGCAAUUACAGUGGCAGUUCUUCUGUUGAUCCUGACUACAACAUGGAUGAGACAGAGUCGUCAUCUUCAAGGCCAGAGAGAGAACAGAGAGAAUAUGAAAGCUUCAGAAGGAAAGCUGAGAUAGCCCGAGGAAAGAGAGCGAUGACAGAGAGGUACGAGCUUAUAGACGAAGAUCUGGAAGACGAAUACAUGCCUGAACAGACUCGCAGAGCUACCAAACUUCUGCACAAGCCCGACGUAUUGCCUACUGAGGAAUAUGUUAGGCUUUUCAAGCUGAAUGAGUUCUGUAGCACGAGGUAUCCUUGCUCGACCUCACUUGCACAACUCGGAUUGUUGGAAGAUGUUCAGCACCUGUACCAAAGUUGUCAUCUGGACACUCUGAUGGCUUAUCCGUAUGUAGCGUAUGAAGAUGAGACAAUACAAUUCCUCUCCACGCUGCAAGUAGAGCUCUACCAAGGUAUGACCUCUGAUGAGUUGGAUUGUGAAGGAUUGGGAUUCUUGCGAUUUUCUGUGUAUGGUCAUGAGUAUAGGUUAUCAAUCAAGCGAUUGGAAUGAUUAUUUGGCUUCCCUAGUGGAACGAGAUCUAAGCCAAAGUAUGAAAGAGAAGAGUUGAAAGACUUGUGGAUCACCAUUGGCAGCUCUGUACCGUUGAAUGCUUCCAGGUCAAAGAGCAAUCAGAUACGCAGCCCUGUCAUCAGGUACUUCCAGCGUUCUAUAGCCAAUGUACUCUACUCCGAGAGAUUACAGGGACUGUCACUAACUCUGAUAUGGAGAUGAUCGCAAUGGCCCUCAAGGAAACUCUUCGCCAAACUAAGAAUGGCAUGUCCCUCCAAGGUGAAGUCAAUGACACACCUCUCUCUAUACUUCUUCUGAUCCAUCUGUAUGGAUACAAGAGCUGGGCUGUCAGCAAUAACCGCAAGAGAGCACGAGGCGCUCUGUGCAUAGGUGGCAUUGUGACACCGAUUCUGAUAGCUUGUGGAGUCCCAAUCAUUUCUGCUGGACUCGAGCCGCGAGCAAUGGAUAUCGAGCACCUACGUCACUGCGAAUUCCUGGAGUUUGCAAUGGUUGACGACUUCCACAGGUUCAGGUUUGAGCACUCUAUAGAGAGGAGAGCUAGCAUCCUUCUCCCUAGCCCUGAGGUUACACAGAUAAUAGAGGGAGAUAACAUUGAUUUUAGGCCUGAGGUUGGACGCCUCUACUAUGAGAACGCUCCGCCAUUGGAUGAGGAUGAUCUUCUUGAAGAAGCUGCUUCGGAUGGGAUGGAUGAAGAUAGGGCGGUGGAGUUCGACACUAGCAUGUAUCACUUUGGUGAACAUGUACCUCCAGCGAGGCAGAGCAAGAGCUUGACUGAAGCUCAUAAGAAUAACAGUAAAUUGCAGAAGUGGUGCAAGAAGCAGGACAAGCUGAUCGCCAAGUGUUUCAAGCUUCUGACAGAUAAGCUAAGUUGCUCUUCCUCCACCACUGCUAUUCCACAGGUACAUCCUCCUCUGGAGAUGCCAUCGAGGAGAAUUGAUGCACCUGCGCACAGGCCUGAGCUUAGCGAGCAGAGAGUCCCACAUGUCCAGGCUAGGCAUUCGUCAUUCGAAUCCCGGGAACACAAGAGAAAAAGGAAGACAACACUCACUCGAUCUAGCAGCAGAUCACGCCUCAUUCACUCGAGGAGAUCACUCGACCGCGGUGCUGGCCGCAGCAGAAGGAGAGAGGUCAAGUUUCCUCAGAGCGGUGCUGGCGCCACAGAGCUGAUGAGGUCGAGUACCCACCUGCUGGAGGUGAUACAGAACAAGGUGGUUCGUCUAUAGCUUGCGAGCAAUCGCAGGCAGCCAUUGACGAGCAACUACGUUCAUUCUUCGACUGAGGUAAGCGCCUCACUUCACCAUUGUAUUAUACCAUCUGUUAUGAUUUGUUUCUUCAUUUUUUGUUUCUGUGAUUGGAUUUGUCCUGAGUACUCUCUUCCAAGUUUAUUCGCACAGUGGACUGUGUGAUUUAUGUUUGGGGGAGGGCUUCGGAAGUGUGUGUUGCAUUGUGUAUAUUUUUGAGUCUGCAUUCAUCUAAGGCAUAGAAAAACCAAAAAAAAUUUGAAAAA